AGGACGAACGCUGGCGGCGUGCUUAACACAUGCAAGUGGUGCGACGAACCGGGGCUUGCCCCGGGGCCAAGCCGCGAACGGGUGAGUAACACGUGAGUAAUCUGCCCCGAUGACCGGGACAACCCGAGGAAACUCGGGCUAAUACCGGAUGUGGUGCACAGAUCUAAGUUUGUGUACUAAAGGAAGCUUCGGCCUCCGCAUUGGGAGGAGCUCGCGGCCCAUUAGCUUGUUGGUGGGGUAACGGCCUACCAAGGCAACGAUGGGUAGCUGGUCUGAGAGGACGAUCAGCCACACUGGGACUGAGACACGGCCCAGACUCCUACGGGAGGCAGCAGUGGGGAAUCUUGCGCAAUGCGCGAAAGCGUGACGCAGCAACGCCGCGUGGGGGAAGACGGCCUUCGGGUUGUAAACCCCUUUCAGGAGGGACGAAGGUUCACCGGUUAAUAGCCGUGUGGAUUGACGGUACCUCCACAAGAAGCUCCGGCUAACUACGUGCCAGCAGCCGCGGUAA
rnacentral:rRNA from 1 species